rnacentral:lncRNA from 1 species
CGGAAUAGAGGAGUUCUCAUUAAUUGUGAAGGGUUUACACAAGUACAUAGGUUCAAGCUCUCCUUUAGUGAGUACAAGUGAAUGAUUUAGUACAAAUGACAUUAGGAAAUAUUGUGGGAGAAUGAUCUCGUAACCACGAAACUUCUAAGUACCGGAGUGUGGUAUCGUCUUGACUUGCCUUAUCUGUCUCAUAGGUAGAUGUGGCAUCUUCUCUGGAAGUACUCUUCCUCCAUCCAGGGGUGGUAUUUGUAACUGGUGGAGAUGCACAAGGUAAUGUAUCAAUUUCACUUGAAGCUUACUUGUAGUUUCCGGCUUGGUCAAGCGCGAUACAAACCAUGUAGUAGGAGUCCCCCAACUCGCCGAGCUAGGGGAUCUGCUGAAAGAGAUGACAGACAAGGUAAGCAAUCAGAGCUCCGGCUGAUUGUUCACAUUCUCCCUAUCUUGCAGGCAACAUGAAGGAUAAAGAGAAGAAAAAUGAGAAGAGA